GCAGUGGGGAAUAUUGGACAAUGGGCGAAAGCCUGAUCCAGCAAUGCCGCGUGAGUGAUGAAGGCCUUAGGGUUGUAAAGCUCUUUUACCCGGGAUGAUAAUGACAGUACCGGGAGAAUAAGCUCCGGCUAACUCCGUGCCAGCAGCCGCGGUAAUACGGAGGGAGCUAGCGUUAUUCGGAAUUACUGGGCGUAAAGCGCACGUAGGCGGCUUUGUAAGUAAGAGGUGAAAGCCCAGAGCUCAACUCUGGAAUUGCCUUUUAGACUGCAUCGCUUGAAUCAUGGAGAGGUCAGUGGAAUUCCGAGUGUAGAGGUGAAAUUCGUAGAUAUUCGGAAGAACACCAGUGGCGAAGGCGGCUGACUGGACAUGUAUUGACGCUGAGGUGCGAAAGCGUGGGGAGCAAACAGGAUUAGA
rnacentral:rRNA from 1 species